GAUGAACGCUGGCGACGUGCCUAAUACAUGCAAGUAGAACGCUGAAGCUUGGUGCUUGCACCGAGCGGAUGAGUUGCGAACGGGUGAGUAACGCGUAGGUAACCUGCCUCUUAGCGGGGGAUAACUAUUGGAAACGAUAGCUAAUACCGCAUAAAAGUCGAUAUCGCAUGAUAUUGAUUUGAAAGGUGCAAUUGCAUCACUAAGAGAUGGACCUGCGUUGUAUUAGCUAGUUGGUGAGGUAACGGCUCACCAAGGCGACGAUACAUAGCCGACCUGAGAGGGUGAUCGGCCACACUGGGACUGAGACACGGCCCAGACUCCUACGGGAGGCAGCAGUAGGGAAUCUUCGGCAAUGGGGGCAACCCUGACCGAGCAACGCCGCGGGAGUGAAGAAGGUUUUCGGAUCGUAAAGCUCUGUUGUAAGAGAAGAACGAGUGUGAGAGUGGAAAGUUCACACUGUGACGGUAACUUACCAGAAAGGGACGGCUAACUACGUG
rnacentral:rRNA from 1 species